AAAACUGAACCGAUACACGACAAACAACGAAAAACAUUGAAGAGGAGAACACACUCGAGGCUCGUUUUAUCUGGAUGCCGCCUCCUUCCGUCCCUCCUUCCUUUUUCAUUUUCUUCGCGUACGAGUGUCUGUGCGUUGUGUGCGUGUGCGCGCUCUCUAUCUCUGAGAGCCGGUAACUCGUGCGGCAUUCACAGAGCUGUUCUGCAGCACGGACAAGCAAGCAGAUUGCACGCGCUCUGCUUCACAUAGGCACACUCACAGGAGAGGAGGCUCCGGGGCUUGAGCUCACGCCACUGCAUUGGAAAAAGAAACACGCGUCUGUAUCCGGCAUUGCCCACACGAAAAUCUCUUUGGCUCGUUGCAGUUGUUCUUCGGUUCUCCCCCACCCCCGCCCGCUUCUUCUCCGUCUCCUCUGUGGCACGCUUGUUGAUUUCUCUUUGCGCGGGGAGGGGAGGUCUUUCGUUGCUGUGUUUCAUCUUUUCUUGUGUUGUUGCUGUCGCUCUUCGUUGUCGCGGGUGGUGGUGGUUGCUGAGAACGUCUUGGAACACAAAAGCGCAGACGCCCGGGGAUAGAGAGAGUUGCUUCUAUUCGAUCGCAUCGUGCAGCCGGUGCCUAUCACUGACGCACAGGCGAAAACGUGAAACCACGCUGGCCUUCGCGUUGCGCGACUGCAUUCUUGUUUUUUUCAGUCUUGUUCUCCUUACCGCGUGCCCAGGACGCGUCAUCAUCAAGUGUUCUUCUUCGCGAUGUUUCCAUCACCGGUGAGCGGGCUCCCGGCCACCACCCUCCUUGCCAAGGUCGAUGUCGCUCCCCAGUUGGCGGACAUCCACAAGGAGUUUGCGCCUCUUCUACGCCUCUCCGGCAUAUGCGCGGCGAGUAGCGGCAGCACCGCUGUGGGGCCCAACGGCACCAGCUCCGGAGCUGGGGUGAGCAACGGCGGGCUAUCCGGCAGCGAGGAGGAGGACCUGCGCGGCAGGCGCAGUCCAGCCGCGUCUCCUGUGCGCACCGUCGAUAGCCGGCUCGCCGAGCUCAUGGCCCCGGUCAUGGUGACGUUGCCGCCGCCGAUGUCCAAGGAGGAUGCUGCCUCGAUUGCUCAUUACGUGCGCCGCUUCCAUGUGCAGGAGGAGUACGAGCGCUCUUACGUCGCUCUCAUCUUCCAGGAGUACAAGAAGCGGAAGAGCAUGGAGCAGAAGUGGGAGAGUGACUUGGCGUCGUGGCGGAGUGAACUGAAGCAGCUGCAGCAGAGGGAGCUGCCGCCUGAGGUGCGCGCUGCCGCGAGUGUCAUCGUAUCCGAAGAAGCGGCAGCCCGGAAGGCGGUACACGACGCUUACGAUAAGUUCCUGAAGUGGGUCGAGGAGACGGUGCCGCAGUGGAUUGAAACAGCGCAGCGGCAGGAGCAGCGGCGGGUGGACAACGAAAAUGCGAAGAAGGCCGCUAUGGCGGCCGCGCGAGAGGCGCUAGCGCAUGAGCUAGCCAUGGGGAAACGCCUGAGCGACGUGAACGACCGCACUUCCUUCCAGAACACCGGCGCGGUGACGGGACUCAAAGAGGACGGCACCCUCUCCUAUGAGCCGGCUGUCUCCGUGGAAACACAGGUGCAGGCGUCUCGCGAGGCCACUGAGGCGCUUUCUCCGACGGAACUGCGCCGCAAGGCCAUCCGCAUGCUGGAGGCAGAGGAGGCGGAAAUGAAGCGCCGCCGCGAGGAGCAGCUGCGCCUGCUGCGCGUGCAGGAAGAGCAGUUGCGCGCAGAGAUAGCUCUCAAGGAAAAGUACAAGCAGGAGGAGGCUGAGCGACGCCAGCGCGAAGCUGAGCAGAAACGGAAGGACGAACUGGCGCGGCGCUAUGAUGCGCUGCUGAAAGAAGAAUUUACCCUGCAGAGCCGUAUGCGGGAACGAGAGGAGAUGGAGGUGCGGCAGGAGGCGGAGCGACGCGCAAAGUUGGCACAGGUGGCAGCCGAAGAGGAGGAGCUGCGGCGGCGCAUACAAGAGACAGAGGACCGCCGUAAGGCUUCGGAGGAGGAGGCGGCGCGUGUGGCGCGGGAUAAGAAGAUGCGCGAAGUACGCGAGAAGGAAGAAAUGCUGCGGCAGCGCAUCGCGGAGCGCGCCGCAGCCGCGGAGGCGGAGCGACUCGAGCGGGAAGCUGAGGCCCGCAUCCACGCUGAGGCCGAAGCGGUGCGUGCUCAACAAGAGGAGGCGCUUCGUCAGGCCAGAAUGCAACAGGAAGAAAGGGAGAAGAAACAACAACUUGCCUACUUGCGCGAUCAGGAGGAGGCGUACAAACGGCGCAUCCGAGAGAAGGAGCUGGCCGAGAUCGAGAAGAAGAGACUUGCCGCGGAGUCGCAGUGGCAGCACAGAGCAUCGACCACGUCAGCCUUGGCCGCCCACUCUGUCUCCUCGACGUCCGCCACCCCAAUCGUCAUGCCGCCAGCUGCCGCCCUUCCAGCCCCGCACUUGAUGGCGCCGCAAAUUCCCAUGAGCUCGUACACCACUGUCAUGCCCUCGAACGUAUACCAGCCGAUACCGGCGGCACCGGCACCCUCUGCGGUAGCACCUGGUGGCUGCUACCUCUACCCCAACCCAGUGGCAACAGUCGUGCCAACAGCGGGAAUGCCGCCGCCUUCACGCCCUGAGUACGGCGUCUAUCCUUUCGCCCAGCCGCCGUGCGUACCGGUGGCCCAACAAUACCCUCAGCCCUACCCGCCCGCUACCGUAGGGUACUACCCGGGUGUACCGCAAGGCGGAGCUCCACCAGGGGUGAUGACGCUGCAGACUUCGCCAUACUCGCCUGCGGCCAUGCAUACUCUCUAAGAGGAAUCCCGGGCUGUUUGACGGACGUGACCCUCGCGGUACACGCAGCGCGUAAUAGCCGGUAUGCCAUCUCUUCCUUGCUUCUCCGUUUCCAUGCAACCGUGCUGCUGUGGUGGGGUGGACUUACCACCUUGCGCUGCCGUGUUCUCUGCGGCAGCAUCUUUGCUUGUUUUACACGUGUGUACAUGCACUUCCAUGGCGUCUUGUCUUCUGCUCUCUCCUUCUCGCUCCCGCCAACGCUCCUUUCGUGGCUACCGCGGCCAGUAUCAUCUGCUCUUUCCAGUUAUUUCUGUCUUCUCCGCCUUGAAUAGUGCUCUCGCACCGCAGUGUUGUUGCGUUCGUUUGUGCUGCUGUCCUUUGCUGUGGCCGAUAUUAGGCGUGCGCGCCGGUGCAGUCUCCAGCGCACACUUUUCUUUUUACUGUCUAUUCCAUCAUUUCUACCUUUAUUUUUCCUUGCGUUUUGCUGUUGUUUUCAAGCAACGAGGAGUUGGCUGCGUGCGCGCAAGCACACACAC
rnacentral:misc_RNA from 1 species